AGGGAGAGGCAGUGCUGACUUCUCUGAGGUCCAGUGAAGACGGUUCCCCCACCAUGGCUGGGCGGAGAGCGAUUAAAGCCAAGGGGACUGCCUCUGGCUCCCCAGGUUCCAGACCCCAUCCUGACUCCCACCUGCAUCACCUUCCUGCUGAGCCGCGGGGCCACGCUGCCGGCUCAGAGGGCGCCCUGCCAGGCCUCCACUCCACCCGCCCAGCUUCACCCCUUCUCACCCAGGCAUCCCCCCCGGCCCGCCCCCGCAGCCUGGCCUGGGAGGUUCCAGGAGGCUCCAGGGCCACCUGCCCAGAGAGCAGGUGAGGAGCAUUGUGAGAAGAAGCAGUCUGGAAACAGGGGGAUCAGUCCCAGGUGAGAGACCUGGGCCUGGGGAGAGGGGAGCCCCAAAACCGAGGUUGGGGGACAGGAAGCCGGCGCCCCACCCUGCCUCCUCCCCCACCGCAGGUACCAGGCCCAGAAACCGCGGAAAGGGGAACUUGGUCUUUUCUUGUUUUGCUCUCAACCCCUUCCUGUCUCCAGGCUCAGGGCAGC
rnacentral:lncRNA from 1 species